rnacentral:rRNA from 1 species
GACGAACGCUGGCGGCGGGCUUAACACAUGCAAGUCGAACGGAAAGGCCCCUUUGGGGGUACUCGAGUGGCGAACGGGUGAGUAACACGUGAGUAACCUGCCCUUGACUUCGGGAUAACUUCAGGAAACUGGGGCUAAUACCGGAUAGGAAUCCUUGCUGCAUGGUGGGGGUUGGAAAGCUUCGGCGGUUUUGGAUGGACUCGCGGCUUAUCAGCGUGUUGGUGGGGUAGUGGCUUACCAAGGCUUUGACGGGUAGCCGGCCUGGGAGGGCGACCGGCCACAGUGGGACUGAGAUACGGCCCAGACUCCUACGGGAGGCAGCAGUGGGGAAUAUUGCUCAAUGGGCGGGAGCCUGAUGCAGCAACGCCGCGGGCGGGAUGACGGCCUUCGGGUUGUAAACCGCUUUCAGCAGGGGCGAAGCUUGUGGUGACGGUACCUGCAGAAGAAGCACCGGCUAACUACGUG